CUCGAUUCGGCAAACUUAUUGAUUCCAAAGCCCGGACCUUAAAGCUUUUUAUAGUGGUUAGUGCUGUAGUGCACCUGCUUCCAACCCAGAAGUUUCAGGUACAAUGCUCGUCACUGCAAUACGUGCUAACAAUAAGUGUAUGAAACAAAAUACCCGUGGUAUCACGACUGUUGUUUUCUCGCCACCCGAAGAUAAAAAGUUGCAUUCAUUCCUUCAAAAAUAUAUAUUUUAAAUACUUAACUUGGUUCGUUAAACGCUUAUAGAUUCAGUUGAACGUUCUGGAUCGCGAGGUGGUGACCUCGCCGGUAGUUUCUCUUCUUCCUCCCAUUCGAAAGAUUGGUGAUGCUAAGCCAGCAGUACCUCGGGCUAGCACGGAGGAAGAUGCUACAAGUUUAAUCGUGUCGCCGAUACCGAAAAGACGAGAAAUCUCAUCGUUUUUGACACCGAUUGAUGAUGUGCUCCCCGAAAUGCCGGGAAUUCGGAGGAGUACCUCUUUGUCCACUCUUGCAGGAAGGGGAAAAUGUGGGGAAGGGGUUCGCCGAUCUGCUUCUGUAGGCAUGCUACCUGCUUUGACCGUGAAUGAUGACCGAGUUUGUGAGUAUUCUU